ensembl:snRNA U6 U6 spliceosomal RNA
GUGCUUGCUUUGGUAGCACAUACACUAACACUGGAAUAAUACAGAGAAGAUUAGCAUGGCCCCUGCACAAGGAUGACAUACAAAUUCACGAAGUGUUCAGUAUUUUU